UGAGAUUAUGUCAGUGCAAUUGCGUGAGUACAGUGACCCUUUCAGAGUUUAAGUCACCAUACAGAAUAAAAACAUUAAAAUAUAAUUUCAAUUGGGUAAAAACUUGGUGAUAAUUUUAUUUAGCAAGUGGAACAAGUGUUAACUUGAUUUAUUUAAAAGACCCAUGGAAUUUUUUUUUUUUUUUUUUGUUUCAUGUGUUCAUUUUUUUAUGCUUGAUAUAAAAGAGUACGUGAAUAUGAAUUUUAAAAAAUCUUUGAUAAGUAUAAAAAUAAAAUCGUUAAAGAAAAAACAAUCAAAUAAUAAUGAUGAAAAUAUAAAUUACCACCCACGUGUUUUAUGAAGUUUCCACAUGUCGUGGUGCAUGUAUGACUAUAAUUUUGUAGGAGAAAAAAUCACGCAUCAAAAGAGGGGAGAAUAUGCUUUAUAUUAAAUCAUCCCGAGUCAUCUAAAAGUUCAGUAGCAGUUGAAUAUUGUUCAAGCAAACAACAAAAUAAUAUUUAAAAAAUAUCCUUUUUUUUUUUUUGUUUUCUUUUCUUCAUUAUUUAAUUUUGUAAUAUAAUUAAUAACUUAUCUAAAAUUUGUUUAAAUAAUUUUUAAUUCGAAUGAAGCUCAGUAUAUUUUGUCUUGUAUUAUUUUUAUCAAUUAUAUUCAUUAAUAAAAUGGCACAUGGUUUUCCCGCCAGUGAUCCAGAAGCAGCUGCUGAAAAUAUGAGGUCGAUUCCACAAUGGCAUUGCCUUCGUUAUAGGAAAUUCGAUCUAGUUCGUCGAUGCAGAAAUUAUCGUCUAUCACGCAAACACUGACCUAUCAGAAAGCGG